rnacentral:rRNA from 1 species
UGGUGGAGUGAUUUGUCUGGUUAAUUCCGUUAACGAGCGAGACCUCGACCUGCUAAAUAGUCUGGCGAAUGAUCAUUUAUUCGUGCAAACUUCUUAGAGGGACUAUCGGUGUUUAGCCGAUGGAAGUUCGAGGCAAUAACA